rnacentral:rRNA from 1 species
UACGAAGGGGGCUAGCGUUGCUCGGAAUCACUGGGCGUAAAGGGCGCGUAGGCGGCCAUUCAAGUCGGAGGUGAAAGCCCAGGGCUCAACCCUGGAAUUGCCUUCGAUACUGUAGAGCUUGAGACCGGAAGAGGUAAGUGGAACUGCGAGUGUAGAGGUGAAAUUCGUAGAUAUUCGCAAGAACACCAGUGGCGAAGGCGGCUUACUGGUCCGGUUCUGACGCUGAGGCGCGAAAGCGUGGGGAUCGAACAGG